rnacentral:rRNA from 1 species
UACGGAAGGCAGCAGUGGGGAAUAUUGCACAAUGGGCGCAAGCCUGAUGCAGCCAUGCCGCGUGUAUGAAGAAGGCCUUCGGGUUGUAAAGUACUUUCAGUCGUGAGGAAGGUGUUAAGGUUAAUAACCUUAGCAAUUGACGUUAGCGACAGAAGAAGCACCGGCUAACUCCGUGCCAGCAGCCGCGGUAAUACGGAGGGUGCGAGCGUUAAUCGGAAUUACUGGGCGUAAAGGGCACGCAGGCGGUUAAUUAAGUUGGAUGUGAAAUCCCCGGGCUUAACCUGGGAAUGGCAUUCAAGACUGGUUAGCUAGAGUCUUGUAGAGGGGGUAGAAUUCCACGUGUAGCGGUGAAAUGCGUAGAGAUGUGGAGGAAUACCGGUGGCGAAGGCGGCCCCUGGACAAAGACUGACGCUCAUGUGCGAAAGCGUGGGGAGCAAAC